AUGAACGCAAAUGCAUGAAGAGUUCGUGGCUUUGUCAUAUUUUAUUAAUGUUUUAAAUCGCUCAAGAUCAUCUCGUUUAAGAGUUAAUGCCCUCUAAUGACUACAGGGAAUAAGCUUUUGCAUAAAUAAACGCUUGUAGAAAUGUAGCUGUGUCUUCAAUUUAUGCGAAAGUUCAAUUGUUGCUACUUGAAACCACAGCUCGUUCCCAUAUGUCGACAGUUGCGGAACUGUAGUAAAUACUUUCACAUUAUAGUUAGCAUGAAGAUAACACAGACUUCACAGAAUAACAGAUGAACUAUUGUUACUGUACCUUCUUCGUUUUAUAACUCAAAAUUCACGUCAACUGCCAUAAACUCAAAUUUUUGAAAGUUGGUCAGUUUAUAUUCGACCAACAGAUGGCAAGACGCUCGUCCUAAAUGCUUGUGUCAAUUCAUUGAAGUGAAUAAUGGUGAACGGACUUUAUUAAGUACAUGAAAUAAGGGACCGAACAUUAUGACUAAAUUAUUGGGAACAAUAUUAUAAUAGAGUAGGUCUACCGAAACAUUUCUAAAAUCAAGAAGAUGCAGGUGUAAAAUAAAAUAAAAUAUACACGAAGCAA